UCGCCACAGAGGUGGAAUUUCAUCUCCGCGGUGUUUGUUUGCUAAUUGGAAUAAAUUGGCAGAAAAUAGCUAUGUUGUUUCUUCUGUGACCGUUAAAAGAGGUUCCUGUUGACGUUAUCUGCUCAUCUGGUUAUCGUGAGCACUUGUUUUGGGUUAAAGUGGAAGAGCCUGGAGCUGCCACCCGUGGUCCCGCGGCCCCCCGGCCUGACCUCCAGGGCCGUGGACGGGUGCUCAAGUGUUGGUGAGAGGAGCGGAGAGGAGCAUGGAGGCUGCCAGGAGGAGCGGACUGGCCAUCAGAUAUUUUUCGUGGACUUUGAAAAAAUUUUUGUCAAAAUGACUUUUGUAGGGGCGUCGGUGGCUUAGUGGUAGAGCAGGCGCCCCAUGUACAAGGCUGUUGCCGCAGCGGCCCAGGUUCGACUCCAGCCUGUGGC